GCCCCGGUAGCCCGGGAGAAGCACCCACUCAGACCCUGAGCUGACCUCCAUCACACACCCAGGUGUGGAGGCUCCGGGCAAUCUGAGCCCCACCACCAUGGGCUCUUCCCUCGGGGCAGGGGACAGAGCCGCGCUGGGCCGCCUGGCCCUCCUCUGGGCCCUCGUGGCUCCAGGUAUCCAGCAGGACCUCAGGGUGCUGCAGCCGUCCGUGAUGGCGGGGCACGCGGGCAGAGCUGUCACCAUGUCCUGCCGGGUCAGUAGGUCUGUGGAUUACGUCCACUGGUUCCGCCAGCUGGAGGGCCAGGCCCCCGAGAGGCUUCUCUAUCUAGCCUUGUCCAAGCGGGAUGUGCAGUGGGAUUCGGUCCUAAGAGGUGAUAAAGUCAGCGCGGCCCGCGGCGCGGAUGACAAGAGCUGCACCAUGUCCCUGAUGAAGCUGGCGAAGAGCGACGAGGGCGUGUACUACUGCGCUGCCUGGAGUCUAAAGUUUUUGCCACAGGUUGAAUCACUGUGGAAUUUAGACAACAUGAUCUUUGGUGACGGAACAAAAGUUUUCGUCCUAGAUAAAAAACUUCCUGCAGAUACUUCCCCCAAACCCACAAUUUUUCUUCCUUCAAUUAAUGAAGUCAACCAUCAACAGGCUGCAACGUAUCUUUGUCUCCUGGAAAAAUUUUUCCCUGAUGUUAUUAAGGUUUCUUGGAAAGAAAAAAAUGGCAACAGGAUUCUGCCAUCCCAGCAGGGAAAUACCAUGAAGACCAAUGACACAUACAUGAAGCUCAGCUGGCUGACAGUGACAGAAAACUCCAUGAAGAAAGAGCACAUAUGUAUCGUCAAACAUGAGAAAAAUGCAGGAAGAAAAGAUCAAGAGAUUCUUUUUCCUGCAGUGAAAGAAGUUUUCACCCCAGUUGUCACUACUACUGAGCCUCCAAAUGAUUGUUCGAAAGAUGGAAGUGAAGUCACUGAUACUGAUUUUACAAAAGCUUGUGCAAGAGAUCAAGGUGAAGUCGCUAAUUCUACAAAAGCAUGUCUGAAAGAUGAAAACAACACCGUGCCGCUGCAGUUCACGUACAACUCUGCUUACUACACCUACCUCAUCCUCCUCCUCAAGAGUGCCGUCUACUUUGUCAUCACCUCCUUCUGUGUGCUUAGGAGAACAGGCAUCUGCUGUGACGGGACGAGCUCGUGACAGAGGGGACAACAAAGGAACCAAUCUUUUUUCUUCAUCUAUUGUCCCAGAAACUCUCUACUGAAGACCCAGCCGGGCUUGCUUUCUGGGUUUGGGUUAUUUCAGACGUUGUGUAUAACUUUCUAUCAUCGUGUAAGGGUUUUUCAGACUGUGCAGACAGUUUUCCUCUGUAACAAGGAAUUCUGCCAUUACUCAAAGGCACGGCCCAGGGCUCGUCCAGGGGAGCCUCUCCCACCACUGUCCCCACAAUCUCAUCAGCUCCUCCCCACCCCCAAGUCCUCAUGCCCCCCUAAGCACACACAGCGGGCAGUUCCCUGUUUGCUCCUCGAGCACCUCCACCAAGACCACGGCCCUGAUCUUCCCUGUCACACACCCUGGAGAUGCUGGCUUUGCUACUUGAAAUAAAUAAAUUUCUAAAAAGAAAUCAAAAGUC